rnacentral:snRNA from 1 species
CUGCUUCAACAGCAGAUAUAGAGGAACUGGAAUAACAGCGAAGAUUAGCAUGGUCCCUGCCCAAGGAUGACACACAAUUUAUGAAUUAUUUUACAGGUUUAA